AAGGCGUUGCUGCGUGCCCCCCACCCCCACCCCACCCUACCCUAGGGCACGGCGCUGCAGAUGCCAGAUCCCCGACCGGAGGCGGUAGAGAUGGGCAGGGCGCAGAGCCGAAGCCCGGAGGACAGGAGUUUGAGAGCCGCCAUCUUCGGCCCCGGGUGCGGGAGGAGGUGGCGAGGUGGCGCGCGCGGGAGUGCGUGCGAGUGCUGGUUGCCGGGGGCCGCGGCGGCGUCACCGGCUAAGGAGAGAAGAAGGCAAGGCGAGCGGUGGGGCGGGCUGGAGGCUCGACCGCGCGUCAGUGACGUCCUCGGGACCUCAGAGCGGUGCCGCCCCUUGCUGCCUGCUGGCUUGUCAAGAAGCGAGACAGGGAGGGGCCCACGGCUAGGAAUGGAAAGGCUGCACAGCCAGGACGAGCCCCGCGGGUUGUGGCUCGGGCUCCUCUGCGGGCACACCCGCAGCGGCGGGCGCCGCACUCAGGCUGGAGGGGGCGCUAGUGCCUGCCUUCCCCUUG
rnacentral:lncRNA from 1 species